rnacentral:rRNA from 1 species
CAUGCAGUCGAACGAGAAACCACCCUUCGGGGUGGGAGUAAAGUGGCGCACGGGCGAGUAAUACGUUCCCAACGUGCCCCGAAGUCGGGGAUAACCAGGGGAAACCCCGGCUAAUACCCGAUGAUCUUCCGAGGCCGCAUGGCCGCGGAAGCAAAGCUCCGGCGCUUCGGGAUCGGGGAACGCCCUAUCAGGUUGUUGGUGUGGUAACGGCUCACCAAGCCGAAGACGGGUAGCGGGUGUGAGAGCAUGGCCCGCCGCAUCGGGACUGAGACACUGCCCGGACUCCUACGGGAGGCUGCAGCAAUGGAUCUUCCGCAAUGGGCGAAAGCCUGACGGAGCAAUGCCGCGUGGAGGAUGAAGCCCUUCGGGGUGUAAACUCCUGUCAGGGUCUGGAAAGCUCUGAUCGGACCCAGAGGAAGGGCCGGCUAACUUCGUGCCAGCAGCCGCGGUAAUACGAAGGGCCCUAGCGUUAAGCGGAAUCACUGGGCUUAAAGGGUGCGUAGGCGGACUUGAAAGUACCUUGUGAAAUCCCACGGCUCAACCGUGGAACUGCAUGGUAAACUUCAAGUCUUGAGCACGGCAGAGGCUGUCGGAACGCUGGGUGUAGCGGUGAAAUGCGUAGAUAUCCAGCGGAACGCCAAAAGCGAAAGCAGACAGCUGGGCCGUUGCUGACGCUGAGGCACGAAAGCGUGGGGAGCAAACGGGAUUAGAUACCCCGGUAGUCCACGCUGUAAACUUUGUGCACUAGCUCUGGGAGGUUCUGACACCAUCCGGGGCGUAGCGAAAGCGUUAAGUGCACCGCCUGGGGACUACGGUCGCAAGGCUAAAACUCAAAGGAAUUGACGGGGGCUCACACAAGCGGUGGAGCAUGUGGCUUAAUUCGAAGCAACGCGAAGAACCUUAUCCGGGGUUUGACAUGCACGGAUUAGCUUCCCGAAAGGGAGGUGACGCUCUUACGAGUGGAACGUGCACAGGUGUUGCAUGGCUGUCGUCAGCUCGUGCUGUGAAGUGUCGGGUUAAGUCCCUUAACGAGCGAAACCCCUGCCGCUAGUUGCCAGCGGGCCUUCGGGCGCCGGGGACUCUAGCGGGACUGCCGGCGUUAAGCCGGAGGAAGGUGGGGACGACGUCAAGUCAUCAUGACCCUUAUGCCCCGGGCUGCACACGUGCUACAAUGGCGGGGACAGAGCGAAGCAAUCCCGCAAGGGGGAGCAAAUCGCAAAAACCCCGCCCCAGUUCGGAUUGUGGUCUGCAACUCGACCGCAUGAAGCCGGAAUCGCUAGUAAUCGCGCAUCAGCAAUGGCGCGGUGAAUACGUUCCUGAGCCUUGUACACACCGCCCGUCAAGUCAUGGAAGCCGGGAGUACCCGAAGUGGCACCAUCUCAGGUGCCCCGACG